UCACAAUUAAUAAUACAUUCAUCAUGCAUGAACACUCCUCACUUUUCAGCCUCCUAUAUAUGAGAACACACACUUUUUUUCAGCUCUCAUAACAAAAAUUUUGAGAGAAAAUUAAAGAUCAAUAUACAGCUCGAAUAUGGCGAAAUCUGUGAUAACACUGAUGGUACUGUUGACCCUUGUAGCAAUUGCGACGGCCCGACAAGCCAAGUACGACAAGGAGUGUUUCAGAAAAUGCUGUGCUAAAUGCUUCGGCAGAUUUCGUUUAACGUGUGUGAUACUUUGUGAACAAAAAUGUAAAAGGUCGCUGCCCAUCUCUGAAUCGUCGGACAGUUGCAUUAGUAGCUGCGUAAAAUCCACGGCUACUAAUUUCAGCUCUGGUAUGAUCAAUUUCUUCGAUUUGAUAGCUUAAAUCCUUCAUCGUACUGUUAUUUUGCAGGUUUGAGUUUGGCCAUAUAGGUUGGGUUGUGUUGGAGCGUGUUAAAUUUGACUUAAUUUGCACCCAAUUUAUUAGUUUAUUCACUUUAUUGGGUUCAAGUACUAAAGUCUCAAACAUGUUUUAUUAUUUUUAAUGUGUCACUAGAACUGACCUAUUUGAUACAUAUUGUUUUAAUAAUAAUAGAAAUAGAGAAUAAUAACAAACCAUGUUUUUGUAAAAUUUCUAACAUAAACGUAAACAACAAUAUAUGAAACUUAAUUCUUUACGAUUCUAUUAGCCAAACAAAGAGAAUGACUAAAGAUGGACUAAACUAUUGCUUAUUUAUCACUUUGCUUAGUACUAUCACUUUGCUAAGUACACAUGUUUAAAAUAAAGUAAAAUAAUAAUGAGCGUUAGUUGGUUCAAUGGUUAUUUCAAUCCCUGUCACACAAAUAUAGAGAUAAUUUAAUUUUCAAUUAGACUAUAUUCCUGAAAAAAAAGGACCUAGAAAGGAAAAGAGUUCUUUUAAAUUUGAUCAAUAAGUUUUAAUCAUGGGUUGAUUGAUCCUGAACCUAGCCCAUGAUUUAACAAGAUAAUGUUUGUCAGAGACGCCCAUUAUCGAUGGCCCAUUAUCUAUUUGUUACGUUCAUUUAAUCGAUUGAAAUAAUAUUUGUGCAGAUGUUGCAAAAGCAGAACGUUGUCUGGGCUCAUGCGCUGAGAGGGGCAAGAAGAAGACCUAACAAAUACGUGUAUAUGUAGUAUGUACUCUGUACUAGGAAUAAAACAAACUGAAAUGAGAAUACAUCAAUGAACUUAUGUUUCUUGUCUUCUUAUCAAAUGGGGCAUGCGUUAUGGUUUAAUUUUUCAAAAUUGAUGUUCAGGUUUCUUCUCAUAAAAAAAU
rnacentral:lncRNA from 1 species